UUCUUUCUCUCUGUACUGUUUAUAUUUUAACUCUGUAAAUGUAUCUUCAGAAAGAAAAGGAAAGAAAGAAAGAAAUGAAGGGAGGAAGGGAGGAAGGGAGGAAGGAAGGGAGGAAGGGAGGAAGGGAGGAAGGGAGGAAGGGAGGAAGGAAGGAAGGAAGGAAGGAAGGAAGGAAGGAAGGAAGGAAGGAAGGAAGGAAGGAAGGAAGGAAGGAAGGAAGGAAGGGAAAGAAAAAAAACAAAGAAAAAAAGAAAGAAAAAACAUGGAAAGCACUUCAGGUGACAUCUUCCAUGGAGGACCCCUGUUCUUCAAGAUAGGAGAGAAUACUUCUUGAUCCACUAUAUAUGACAGAAUGGCCACAAACAACUGUAAUACAAUACAUCUUCUGUACAACAGGCUGUCACUGAUGCAGCCUGGCCUUGAGGCUUCCAGGGAUGGGACAUCCACAGCUUUUCUCAGAAACUCUCAUCAUGAAAAAAUUAUUUUUUCUAAAGACAUGUAUCUGUCUUUACCAUGUGCUCAUACUUUUAGGUAAA
rnacentral:lncRNA from 1 species